rnacentral:rRNA from 1 species
GUUGGGGGCAUCAGUAUUCUGAAGCGAGAGGUGAAAUUCUUGGACCUUCGGAAGACUAACAACUGCGAAAGCAUUUGCCUAGGAUGUUCUCUUUAAUCAAGAACGAAAGUUGGGGGAUCGAAGACGAUCAGAUACCGUCGUAGUCUCAACUAUAAACUAUGCCAGCUAGGGAUUGGUGGACGUUUAUUUACGACUCCAUCAGCACCUUAUGAGAAAUCAAAGCAUUUGGGUUCCGGGGGGAGUAUGGUCGCAAGGCUGAAACUUAAAGGAAUUGACGGGAGGGCACCACCAGGAGUGGAGCCUGUGGCUUAAUUUGACUCAACACGGGAAAACUUACCAGGUCCGGACAUAGUAAGGAUUGACAGAUUGAUAGCUCUU